GCAGCCGCGGUAAUACGUAGGGGGCUAGCGUUAUCCGGAUUUACUGGGCGUAAAGGGUGCGUAGGUGGUUUCUUAAGUCAGGAGUGAAAGGCUACGGCUCAACCGUAGUAAGCUCUUGAAACUGGGAAACUUGAGUGCAGGAGAGGAAAGUGGAAUUCCUAGUGUAGCGGUGAAAUGCGUAGAUAUUAGGAGGAACACCAGUAGCGAAGGCGGCUUUCUGGACUGUAACUGACACUGAGGCACGAAAGCGUGGGGAGCAAACAGGAUUAGAUACCCC
rnacentral:rRNA from 1 species